GCGAGGUUGGCAGAAAAAUGUGAUUGGCUUAGGACCACUUUAUGUGGGGAUAUCCCACACCUCGCU
rnacentral:tRNA from 1 species